rnacentral:rRNA from 1 species
CCUACGGGAGGCAGCAGUGGGGAAUAUUGGACAAUGGGGGGAACCCUGAUCCAGCGACGCCGCGUGAGUGAAGAAGUAUUUCGGUAUGUAAAGCUCUAUCAGCAGGGAAGAAAGAAAUGACGGUACCUGACUAAGAAGCCCCGGCUAACUACGUGCCAGCAGCCGCGGUAAUACGUAGGGGGCAAGCGUUAUCCGGAUUUACUGGGUGUAAAGGGAGCGUAGACGGCGAUGCAAGUCUGAAGUGAAAGGCGGGGGCUCAACCCCUGGACUGCUUUGGAAACUGUAUGGCUGGAGUGCAGGAGAGGUAAGUGGAAUUCCUAGUGUAGCGGUGAAAGGCGUAGAUAUUAGGAGGAACACCAGUGGCGAAGGCGGCUUACUGGACUGUAACUGACGUUGAGGCUCGAAAGCGUGGGGAGCAAACAGGAUUAGAUACCCUUGUAGUC